GGAAAUCUCACCAGGCCCGGACACUGGGAGGAUUGACAGAUUGAUAGCUCUUUCUUGAUUCGGUGGGUGGUGGUGCAUGGCCGUUCUUAGUUGGUGGAGCGAUCUGUCUGGUUAAUUCCGAUAACGAACGAGACCCCAACCUGCUAACUAGCCCUCGGGUCCUGCUUCUGUUGGGCCCGACGGAAUGAUUCGCUUCUUAGAGGGACUCGCGGCGCCUAGCCGCACGAAGGGGGGCGAUAA
rnacentral:rRNA from 1 species